rnacentral:lncRNA from 1 species
UUAUUCCUGCGCCUCCUGAUGUUGCAAUGCGGAUGAUGCGAGAACAAGGAGGCCCUGGUCCUUUUGAAGGUGGUAGAAAUGGGAUGUCUGGGACUGCAAUAAGUGGGGGGGCCCCGAUAAUUGCUUUACCUCCUGGAUUUCGACAGGAUCCUCGUCGUUUGCGAAGUAGAAAUGGGAUGUCUGGGUCUACAAUAAGUGGGGGCCCCCCGAUAAUUGCUUUACCUCCUGGAUUUCGACAGGAUCCUCGUCGUUUGCGAAGGUAUUUUGUGCCUUGUAGUAUUUUCAGAUUGAUAAAUGGUGAAACUACUAGUUACCAUCAUUCAAAUGUCCCAUCUCACUAAAAUCUGUGAAAUAAUCAAUUCUGAAUUUGGCACUGUGUUUGUAUAGCUCC